CGGAAUGGAUAAGCGCUGAAAGCAUCUAAGCGCGAAGCCAACUUCAAGAUAAGAUUUCCCACCGCAAGGGUAAGACCCCAGAAAGACUAUCUGGUUGAUAGGUCGAAGGUGUAAGUGCAGCAAUGUAUUUAGCUUAUCGAUACUAAUAGGUCGAGGACUUGACCAAUAUUUAUU
rnacentral:rRNA from 1 species